UUUUAUCUUCAGGGUCAGGUGAAAUUCCUAAUCGGUGGUAAAGCCCACGAGCGAAAGCAGAACUAGUUAGAUUCUAGUGCCGACAGUUAAAGUCUGGAUAAAAGAAGAUGUUU
rnacentral:ncRNA from 2 species